UACGUAGGGGGCAAGCGUUGUCCGGAUUUAUUGGGCGUAAAGAGCGUGUAGGCGGCCAUACAGGUCAGCUGUGAAAACUCGAGGCUCAACCUCGAGACGUCGGUUGAAACCGUAUGGCUAGAGUCCGGAAGAGGAGAGUGGAAUUCCCGGUGUAGCGGUGAAAUGCGUAGAGAUCCGGAAGAACACCGGUGGCGAAGGCGGCCUGCUGGGCAGUUGCUGACACUGAGGCGCGACAGCGUGGGGAGCAAACAGG
rnacentral:rRNA from 1 species